GGCGGGCGACAGCCCCCCCCAGGCCCCCACCGUCUAGGACAGCCGGGCUCUGCGCGCCGCUGGGGGUAUUUUGGGGGGGGGUUGUCUCCGCCUCUACACACCCCCUCCCGCCCCCUGGGCCUCGACUCCCCUCCUCCUGGCAAUCAGGUGUGGACGGGAAUGUCACGCAGUUCGCCCGCCCGGGCUGGAGCUGGAGGUGUGGGCGCCUCCGCGUGUUCCUAAGCCCCGCGGGCAGGUGCACCCCUCGUCGCCCCGCUGGUCCCCACCGCAGCCCACGGAGCGCCCUCCCACCUUGCCCUCGGCAGGACUCUUCUGCGCCCCCCCCCCCCGUUUGCAAAUGCGUGGAGGUCCUGAAACCCGGAGGUCACGGCCAUGAACGCAGCUCGCGCACCCCGACUCCCUGCAGGUCUCUGUGGAUUGAUGACUUGUUUUUAUGUGCUUAUUUGCUACCUGGAUAUCUUCUUGGGGACUCCUGGGUGGCUCAACAGUUGAGCAUCUGACUUUGGCUCAGGGCAUGAUUCCGGG